rnacentral:tRNA from 1 species
GAUCUCUUAGCUCAGUUGGUUAGAGCAUUCGGCUGUUAACCGGAAGGUCGUAGGUUCGAAUCCUACAGAGAUCG